GACCUCGCUGCAGUUACAACUUCCUUGGGAGGGGAAGAGGAGGGGCAGGCACUGAUCUCUGGUGACCAGUGACAGGACCCGAGGGAAUGGCCUGAAUUGUGUCAGGGGAGGUUUAGGUUGGAUAUUAGAAAGAGGUUCUGGAACACUGGAAGGUUCUGGGCACUGGAACAGGCUCCCCAGGGAAGCGGUCACAGCACCAACCAUGACAGAGUUCAAGAAGUGUUUGGACAACACUCUCAGGCACCUGGUGUGACUCUUGGGGAUGGUCCCGUGCAGGACCUGGAGUUGGACUCGAUGAUCCUUGUGAGUCCCUUCCAAUUCAGCACAGUCUGUGAUGCUGUCGUUCUGUCAUAUUCUGGACAAAUUUUUCUUUAUAAUUCCUUUGUCCUGCUGUUGAGCUCCUCUUUUCCAUAACUGGUAAGCAAACUUCUCACAAUGAGUUUCAGAAUACCAUUGAGUUCUCCCUGAAACCCUGUCCUUUAAUAAAACAUGCACUACCUCCAA